UACAGAGGGGGCAAGCGUUAUUCGGAAUUAUUGGGCGUAAAGGGCGCGUAGGCGGCAUGGCAAGUGGAUGGUGAAAUCCCUCGGCUUAACCGAGGAACUGCCGUCCAAACUGCUUCGCUUGAGACCGGGAGAGGUGAGUGGAAUUCCCAGUGUAGCGGUGAAAUGCGUAGAUAUUGGGAGGAACACCAGUGGCGAAGGCGGCUACCUGGACCGGUUCUGACGCUGAGGCGCGAAAGCGUGGGUAGCAAACAGG
rnacentral:rRNA from 1 species